rnacentral:rRNA from 1 species
GACGAACGCUGGCGGCGUGCUUAACACAUGCAAGUCGAACGGAGAGGCCCUGCUUUUGUGGGGUGCUCGAGUGGCGAACGGGUGAGUAACACGUGAGUAACCUGCCCUUGACUUUGGGAUAACUUCAGGAAACUGGGGCUAAUACCGGAUAGGAGCUCCUGCUGCAUGGUGGGGGUUGGAAAGUUUCGGCGGUUGGGGAUGGACUCGCGGCUUAUCAGCUUGUUGGUGGGGUAGUGGCUUACCAAGGCUUUGACGGGUAGCCGGCCUGAGAGGGUGACCGGCCACAUUGGGACUGAGAUACGGCCCAGACUCCUACGGGAGGCAGCAGUGGGGAAUAUUGCACAAUGGGCGGAAGCUUGAUGCAGCAACGCCGCGUGCGGGAUGACGGCCUUCGGGUUGUAAACCGCUUUCGCCUGUGACGAAGCGUGAGUGACGGUAAUGGGUAAAGAAGCACCGGCUAACUACGUG